CAGGCCCUGACUGAAGGCUGAUGGCAUUCCUAUGGCCAAUGGCUUCAAACAGGAGCCAAGAAAAACAUCUUUCCAUGAUCUGUUGGCUGUUUUGAAUUUCAAAAAUGGAACAGCCACUUCCAUUGAGGAGAAACAUCC